CCUACAAUAUAAACUCUGCUACAACUCAAGCUCCUUCCACCUCUGACUAGUAUCUGGAUUCUGGAGCCUCUGCACAUGUUACAUCUGACAUGAGUAAUCUCCAAAUUCAAACUCCUUAUCAUGGUAGUGAAUCCCACACUGUAGGACAAACUUACUCACCAAACUCUACUGGAAGAAAUAAUUAGAGAGGGACUGUAUCACCUGAACCUGACCAAGACUCCAUCUGCUACUUCUCAUACCAAACCUUCAGGUCAGUGUUUUGUAGUCAAUUCUAUGUCUGACGUACACCUUUGGCAUACUAGACUAGGUCACCCUUGUGAUAAUGUUCUUAAGUCAGCCCUUAAGGCUAUGAAUAAAUCUGUAACUAUUACUUCUUCACACUUUUGUGAUGCUUGUGCUUUAGGCAAAAUCCAUGGCUCAAGUUUUCCAUCUGUUGAAAUAAAAACAACUGCUCAUUUUCAGCUAAUACAUACAAAUGUUUGGGGUCCUA